UGACCUCAGAUCAGGCAAGGCUACCCGCUGAAUUUAAGCAUAUUAAUAAGCGGAGGAAAAGAAACUAACAAGGAUUCCCCUAGUAAUGGCGAAUGAAGCGGGAACAGCUCAAAUUUAAAAUCUCCGUUGCUUGCAACGGCGAAUUGUAGUUUCGAGAAGCACUUUCUCGGCGGAUCCGAGGUCGUCCAAGUUGCUUGGAACAGCACGUCGUAGAGGGUGACAACCCCGUCUGCGGCGACCUCGGCCGUUCACGAUGUGCUUUCCCUUUUGUUUUGGAAUGCAGCCCAAAAUGGGUGGUAAACUCCGUCUAAAGCUAAAUAUUGGCACGAGACCGAUAGCGAACAAGUACAGUGAUUGAAAGAUGAAAAGCACUUUGAAAAGAGAGUUAAAAAGUACGUGAAACCGUUAAAAGGGAAACGAAUGGGGUUAGCAAUGCGUCGUGCGAGAUUCAGCCGGUGGGUGGGCCAGGCGGGCGGUUGGCGGAUCUGAAUGGACCGCUGCCGUUCGGGUUGGUUUCCCGACCGUUGCACUUCUCGCAGGCGCGCGCCAACGUCGGUUAGGGCUGGGUCUCAAAGACGGUGGAAAGGUAGGUUUGGACUCUCGGGCCCGAACUGUUACAGUCCUCCGUUUGUCAUGGCCCGGACCUGACCGAGGAGCUUGCGGUGCAUGCCGUUCGGCUAGGGUCCCGUCUUCCCGGUCGGUCGUCGAAUACGGUGGACUGCGUGCAGUGCGCCGCGACUGCUGCCGGUCGCGAGGGCGGUGAUUUCGUACUAUGCACCCACGACGUUGGCGAUCAUAUGGCCUCAUCCGACCCGUCUUGAAACACGGACCAAGGAGUCUAACAUGUGUGCGAGUCUUUGAGUGAUCGAAACUCCGAGGCGAAAUGAAAGUGAAGGCGACUUCGGUCGCUGAGGUGAGAGCCUUUUACAAAAAAAGGCGCAUGAUUGCCGACCUAUUCUACUCUUAGAAAGGUUCGAGUAAGAGCGCAUCUGUUGGGACCCGAAAGAUGGUGAACUAUGCCUGAAUAGGGUGAAGCCAGAGGAAACUCUGGUGGAGGCUCGUAGCGAUUCUGACGUGCAAAUCGAUCGUCAAAUUUGGGUAUAGGGGCGAAAGACUAAUCGAACUGUCUAGUAGCUGGUUCCCUCCGAAGUUCCCCUCAGGAUAGCUGGAACUUACGGCAGUUUUAUCAGGUAAAGCGAAUGAUUAGAGGUCUUAGGGUUAAAACAACCUUAACCUAUUCUCAAACUUUAAAUUGGUAAGAAGUCCGACUUGCUUAAUUGAAGCCGGACAGUGAAUGCGAGUUCCUAGUGGGCCAUUUUUGGUAAGCAGAACUGGCGAUGCGGGAUGAACCGAACGCGCGGUUAAGGUGCCAAAGUCGACGCUCAUCAGACCCCACAAAAGGUGUUGGUUGCUCUAGACAGCAGGACGGUGGCCAUGGAAGUUGGAAUCCGCUAAGGAGUGUGUAACAACUCACCUGCCGAAGCAACUAGCCCUGAAAAUGGAUGGCGCUCAAGCGUCGCACCUAUACCGUGCCGUCGGAGCAGAUGCGAAGCUCCGACGAGUAGGAGGGCGUGGGGGUCGUGACGCAGCCUCUGGCGCGAGCCUGGGUGAAACGGCCUCCAGUGCAGAUCUUGGU
rnacentral:ncRNA from 1 species